rnacentral:rRNA from 1 species
AGUGAACGCUGGCGGUAGGCCUAACACAUGCAAGUCGAACGGCAGCACAGUAAGAGCUUGCUCUUACGGGUGGCGAGUGGCGGACGGGUGAGGAAUACAUCGGAAUCUACUUUUUCGUGGGGGAUCACGUAGGGAAACUUACGCUAAUACCGCAUACGACCUACGGGUGAAAGCAGGGGAUCUUCGGACCUUGCGCGAUUGAAUGAGCCGAUGUCGGAUUAGCUAGUUGGCGGGGUAAAGGCCCACCAAGGCGACGAUCCGUAGCUGGUCUGAGAGGAUGAUCAGCCACACUGGAACUGAGACACGGUCCAGACUCCUACGGGAGGCAGCAGUGGGGAAUAUUGGACAAUGGGCGCAAGCCUGGUCCAGCCAUACCGCGUGGGUGAAGAAGGCCUUCGGGUUGUAAAGCCCUUUUGUUGGGAAAGAAAAGCAGCAGGUUAAUACCCCGCUGUUCUGACGGUACCCAAAGAAUAAGCACCGGCUAACUUCGUG